GUAGAAAUCUACCUAGUAGUGGGGGAUAGCCCAGAGAAAUUUGGAUUAAUACCGCAUACGCCUACGGGGGAAAGCGGGGGAGUCUUCGGACCUCGUGCUAUUAGAUGAGUCUGCGUCGGAUUAGCUUGUUGGUGAGGUAAUGGCUCACCAAGGCGACGAUCCGUAGCUGGUCUGAGAGGAUGACCAGCCACACUGGAACUGAGACACGGUCCAGACUCCUACGGGAGGCAGCAGUGGGGAAUAUUGCACAAUGGGCGCAAGCCUGAUGCAGCCAUGCCGCGUGUGUGAAGAAGGCCUUAGGGUUGUAAAGCACUUUCAGCAGUGAGGAAAGGGGUGUCGUUAAUAGCGCCAUCCUGUGACGUUAACUGCAGAAGAAGGACCGGCUAACUCCGUG
rnacentral:rRNA from 1 species